rnacentral:rRNA from 1 species
GUUGUAUGGUUAAGUGACUAAGCGUACACGGUGGAUGCCUGGGCAGUCAGAGGCGAUGAAGGACGUACUAACUUGCGAUAAGCGUAGAUGAGGCAGUAAGAGCCACUUGAGUCUACGAUUUCCGAAUGGGGAAACCCAACUGCAUAAGCAGUUAUCUCAAUGUGAAUUCAUAGCAUUGUGAGGCGAACCGGGGGAACUGAAACAUCUAAGUACCCCGAGGAAGAGAAAUCAACCGAGAUUCCGGCAGUAGCGGCGAGCGAAACCGGAUUAGCCCUUAAGCUAAUCUUGCGUUAGGUGAACAUGCUGGAAAGCAUGGCAAUAAAGGGUGAUAGCCCCGUAACCAACAACGC